CCUACGGGUGGCAGCAGUGAGGAAUAUUGGUCAAUGGACGAGAGUCUGAACCAGCCAAGUAGCGUGAAGGAUGACUGCCCUAUGGGUUGUAAACUUCUUUUAUAAAGGAAUAAAACGAGGCACGUGUGCCUUUUUGCAUGUACUUUAUGAAUAAGGAUCGGCUAACUCCGUGCCAACAGCCGCGGUAAUACGGAGGAUCCGAGCGUUAUCCGGAUUUAUUGGGCUUAAAGGGAGCGUAGAUGGGUUGUUAAGUCAGUUGUGAAAGUUUGCGGCUCAACCGUAAAAUUGCAAUUGAUACUGGCAGUCUAGAGUACAGUUGAGGUAGGCGGAAUUCGUGGUGUAGCGGUGAAAUGCUUAGAUAUCACGAAGAACGCCGAUUGCGAAGGCAGCUUACUAAACUGUGACUGACAUUGAUGCUCGAAAGUGUGGGUAUCAAACAGGAUUAGAUACCCCGGUAGUC
rnacentral:rRNA from 1 species